rnacentral:lncRNA from 1 species
UGCCCCGCUUCUUCCCUGCGCCGCGGCCGCGCGUGCGGCUGCCUAAGCGUUCCCGGCCCUGUCUGGUGCAUUCCCCCUGCUGCUGCCCGGUCGGCCGAGAAAGUUCCGGGCGACAGGUGGCCCGAGGCCCUCGAGCUGCGCGGACAGAGCGGCCCCGGAGUCGCGAGCGUGACGGGCUUGCUUGGAGGGCACUUGGUGGCCGGUAGCACCAUAAAGGCCAUAAUUUGGUGUGUGGGUGUGGGGGUGUGUGUGUUAACGGCAUUGGUUUGAUUCACACUUCUGAUGAAAGAAGCCUGUUUAAAAAAGAAAAGAAAAAAGAAGCCUGUUUAAAGGGUGCAGGGUGUUACGAUUGUUAACGUGCAGUGGGCAGUUCACCUGCUACGCUAUCCAACAGGCGCCCUGCUCAGGCCCGACCUCGCACUGCCGCGCGGGCCGGUCCCCCCCGGCCCGGGUAACUGGGACGUCCUGGGAAAAUAAAUUAAUCACGUACGGAGUGAGAGAACAGGAAACCUGCCGAGAAAAAGAUCGAUAAGCAGACAAUUACACCAAGCCAACUUCAGUGCAAUCGUUAAAGCUUACACAUGGGUGCACGCUUGGGAGCCGUGAGCUACCAUGUUAAAAGGCCAACUUCCUAAGGAAAAAUGAUGGAAAGAGAUCCCGAGAUCCUAUGAAAUGGAAGAGGGAGGACAACCCAGCUAUCCCAACAUCCCAGCUGAGGCCAGCCACACACGUGACUGUCUGCAAAGCCCGUCGGGCCUGGGUCCAGCUCAGGUUGCAGAAUUGUUGGCAAGUAAAACGUUUGUUGUCGUUCUGACUCAAAAACAUGGAGACAAAGCAGACUUGUAGGGUAUUACAGUCAACAACUAGACCCUACAGCUAAAGGACUGUCUCCUUGCAUGAUGCAACAACCAUCACAGCUCUGCAAGAGCAACCAAACCACCAAGGAUGCGAUCACCCCUCACUGCCUUCGAUACGCAUUCUGUGGAAACGCUUCUAAACUUGCAUCACACUCAACACGAUCAGUUAGUAACUGGCUUCUCAUGAAGUUAUUCUCUCAGCCGCAUACUACAAUGUCCAGAUGUCAUCUAAAUCCUGCCACCCUCUCCCCCACCUUCAGCUGAAACGCUGCAUGACUGCAUCAUCUUACCUGACCAGCUCUCUCCUAGGACAGACAUGCAAGAACCCCCCUCACUAACGCUGAUGUUAUUUGGUUUACAGAUGGCUCUUACUUAAAGAUGCAGCUGG